UUCGCCCUUAGAGUUUGAUCCUGGCUCAGGACGAACGCUGGCGGCGCGCCUAACACAUGCAAGUCGAACGAGAGAGAGGAAGCUUGCUUCCUCAAUCGAGUGGCGAACGGGUGAGUAACGCGUGAGGAACCUGCCUCAAAGAGGGGGACAACAGUUGGAAACGACUGCUAAUACCGCAUAAGCCCACAGCUCGGCAUCGAGCAGAGGGAAAAGGAGCAAUCCGCUUUGAGAUGGACUCGCGUCCAAUUAGCUAGUUGGUGAGGUAACGGCCCACCAAGGCGACGAUUGGUAGCCGGACUGAGAGGUUGAACGGUCACAUUGGGACUGAGACACGGCCCAGACUCCUACGGGAGGCAGCAGUGGGGGAUAUUGCACAAUGGGGGAAACCCUGAUGCAGCGACGCCGCGUGGAGGAAGAAGGUUUUCGGAUUGUAAACUCCUGUCGUUAGGGACGAUAAUGACGGUACCUAACAAGAAAGCACCGGCUAACUACGUGCCAGCAGCCGCGGUAAAACGUAGGGUGCAAGCGUUGUCCGGAAUUACUGGGUGUAAAGGGAGCGCAGGCGGACCGGCAAGUUGGAAGUGAAAUCUAUGGGCUCAACCCAUAAAUUGCUUUCAAAACUGCUGGCCUUGAGUAGUGCAGAGGUAGGUGGAAUUCCCGGUGUAGCGGUGGAAUGCGUAGAUAUCGGGAGGAACACCAGUGGCGAAGGCGACCUACUGGGCACCAACUGACGCUGAGGCUCGAAAGCAUGGGUAGCAAAACAGGAUUAGAUACCCUGGUAGUCCAUGCCGUAAACGAUGAUUACUAGGUGUUGGAGGAUUGACCCCUUCAGUGCCGCAGUUAACACAAUAAGUAAUCCACCUGGGGAGUACGACCGCAAGGUUGAAACUCAAAGGAAUUGACGGGGGCCCGCACAAGCAGUGGAGUAUGUGGUUUAAUUCGAAGCAACGCGAAGAACCUUACCAGGUCUUGACAUCCGAUGCAUAGUGCAGAGAUGCAUGAAGUCCUUCGGGACAUCGAGACAGGUGGUGCAUGGUUGUCGUCAGCUCGUGUCGUGAGAUGUUGGGUUAAGUCCCACAACGAGCGCAACCCUUAUUGCCAGUUACUACGCAAGAGGACUCUGGCGAGACUGCCGUUGACAAAACGGAGGAAGGUGGGGAUGACGUCAAAUCAUCAUGCCCUUUAUGACCUGGGCUACACACGUACUACAAUGGCGUUUAACAAAGAGAAGCAAGACCGCGAGGUGGAGCAAAACUCAAAAACAACGUCUCAGUUCAGAUUGCAGGCUGCAACUCGCCUGCAUGAAGUCGGAAUUGCUAGUAAUCGCGGAUCAGCAUGCCGCGGUGAAUACGUUCCCGGGCCUUGCACACACCGCCCGUCA
rnacentral:rRNA from 1 species